rnacentral:lncRNA from 15 species
CGGGCGUGGUCUAUUUCAUGUGGGCGGGGUCUGGUUUCUGGUUGACAGAGAGGUAAGUUUGUUUCCUUCAGUUUGACUUCAACAUUGACCAGAAAGGAGAGAGAUGAAGCUUUAUACUCUGCUGCUGUCGAUCGCCCUCAGCUGCGGCUGCUCUGCCAAAGGUGAUCACCAUGACAAUCCACCUGCCGCCAUGAUGUUGGGCGCUGCCCUAUCAGACGUUGACGCCCCCGGUCCGAGCACGGACACCCUGCCGCCCAAGCUGGCAGAGCUGGUCCAGGAUCAGCAGCAGGAGGCACCAUGGAGGAAGGAGCUCCUGGAUCUGCUAAAAGAGCUGGUCCAGGUCCAGAAAGAGGUCGCCAAGGGCCAGGUCCAGGUGGUCCAAUUGCUUGGUGUGCUGCAAACUCAGGGUUCCCAGCAGAUCCAGGAUCUGCAGAACGUGGCUCGACACCAGAGUCUGCUGGUUGAAAACCAUCAGGCUUUACUGCUGCAGACGUCCCGCAUCGCCACCCACCUCCAGGAGGUCACCAAGAAACCUCCUCAGAGUAGCCAAUGAGGUCCUCUGAUUGUCCAAUGAGUUUCUCUGAUUGUCCAAUGAGGUCCUCUGAUUGUCCAAUGAGGUUCUCUGAUUGUCCAAUGAGGUUCUCUGAUUAGACAGUGGAAUAUGUUGUGGAGUGGAGCUGACCAGGGAUUCCUUUAUACCAGCUAACCAAUGAGAUAGAGAGGUCAGUUAUUAACCACUAACAUACUGGUUUUCAGUCAGCUAAUAAAUAAUCAAUGAGUAUGCUGAUAGAUUUAAAAAUGUUGAUAAUCAAAAGUCAUCAUUAAUACUAUUUUUUUCCAGUGAGACUUUCUGUUGUAUCUCUGCUGUAUCGUCUCUUCUUCUCUGAUUUUAAAUAAAGUCGUGUGAUAUCAUCCAACCAAUUGUGGAGUUUCUGUGUGCUAUAAUACAAUAUAUAUAUAUAUAGCAGGGACAGCCUGACAGUGCCUGAAGUUAGGCCACUGUUCAGUGAGUGUUGGAGUUUUUCCACACCUAUCUCUUUCUGAAUGAACAGAGUGAACAAGCCUGUAGUAAAGUCCUCAGGAGGCUUUAAGAUUUCUUUAUGCGCAAAUACAAGAGGAAUUAUAAAUAACUUUAUACAAUCCCUGUUGAGACAGAAGUCAGGUCUUUGGAUCUUCACAUUUCUAAUGAAACAAUGGUUGAAUAAACUUUGAUUUUGCUGACAAAUUAUUUACUUUUAAGAUUUCUUGCUGACACAUUUCAAAGUGGAUUUAAAGUUAGGGAUGUCCCCCGACCCGAACCGAGUCAUUUAAUAUUGAGUAUCUGUCGACACUGAGUCCUGAUCCAAUAUUUGUAUUUUUGUAGACAAUAGUGUGCACAUUUGAACUACAUUACAGUUAUUAUAUCAUUAUAUGGUGCUCCGUUGCAGCCUUUACCUGAGUUACUGAAUCUGUCUGUAUUCUGCUGAUUAUUUACACCAUCUCCACAUCCCUCGAUAAUAUUAAUGACUUACUCUUAUUGGCGGGGCUUUGUUGCACUUGCAGUGACAUUUUGUAGCUUUUUGUCUAAGCUCAGCAAUAAGAGUCGGCUCUUCAUUCAGUUCCACUUCUUGAACUGUUCAGCCAAAUGAAUCAAUGUGUUGAUCUAUGACCUAUGUGUGCACAUAUAUCACUUAAAGAACAUCUCCACAAUAUGAUAAUAUUAUAUUAUGUUUGUUAUGUAAAUUAAAUGAUAUAAAUAUAUUCUUUCUGGAUUAUAUUCAACAAUUGGCUCAUCAUAUUAAUGGCUUGUAUUCAUUUAUUAGAAGAAGGACAUGAAUAUGGGGAGGGACAACCUGAAGACGACCAAUCAGCUGUAUCUCAAGCUAAUUAUGGAAAGUGGAUCAGAGCAGUAGAUCGUAGUAGAAAUACUUUGUGUUUUGUUUUUUGGUUCAUGCUGUAACCCCAAAGGGGGUGUGGUCAGGUGAUGUCCUAAUUGUUGAACUGAUUCACUGUUGGGUUGUUUCAGAUCCUCCUGGUCCUCCAUCGAUCCAUCUGAACUCUGACUUCCUGCCGAACCAAACCGAGGUGGUCCUGACCGCUGGCGCCACCUUCAACCUCAGUUGUCAUGGUAACGGUAUGGUCCGUUGGUCCAGUACUGCGUUCCGUCUGCUGUACGAGGACAAACUGAAGGAUCUGGUGGAGGUACGGAGGGCGGACCCCAGACACACCGGAACGUACCGCUGUGGGUACACCAACCAGAGCCUGGAACACCUGGACACCUGGAUCCACCUGUAUGUCAAAGGUAGGUUUAGCUCAGGCAACACCUCACACCAAAUGUCUGAUUCAGAUAUUCCAACUCCAAUUCAAUUCAAUUCAAUUCAAUUCAAUUCAAUUCAAUUCAAUUCAAUUUUAUUUGUAUAGCGCCAACUCAUAACAGAAGUUAUCUCAGGACACUUUUCAAAUAGAGCAGGUCUAGACCGAACUCUUUAAAACAUUAAUUACAGAGACCCAACAGUACCACCAUGAGCAAGACCUUGGAGACAAGGGCAAGGAAACACUGCCUGUUAAAAGGCAGAAACCUAGGACAGAUCCUCCGGCUCUAGGUGGGUGGUCGUCUGUCUCGACCAGUUGGGGUGAGAGAGAGAGAGAGAGAGAGAGAGAGAGAGAAAGAGAGAGAGACAGACAGACAGACAGACAGACAGACAGACAGACAGGUGCAGAGCAACAACAGUAUUGGCAAUGGCAAUCUAGCAGGACCAUGGCAGGAGGCUCCACCAGGAUCGAUAAGAACCUGCGAGACGAGAAAGCACAAGAACUCCGGGGAAGAAGUGAAGUUAGUAAUAUGCAUUAAUGGAACAUGAAUGAGUGCAGAAAGAGAGAGGAAGAGAGGAGCUCAGUGCACCAUGGGAAAUCCCCCGAUAGUCUAGGCCUAUAGCAGCAUAACUAAGGGAUGGUUCAGGACUCACCUGAUCCAGCCCUAACUAUAAGCUUUAUCAAAGAGGACUGUCUUAAGCCUACUCUUGAAUGUGGAGAGGGUGUCUGCCUCCCGAACCACAACUGGAAGCUGGUUCCACAAGAGAGGAGCUUGGUAACUGAAGGCUCUGGCUCCUGUUCUACUUUUAGAGACUAUAGGAACCACAAGUAGCCCAGUAUUCAGAGAACGUAGUGUUCUAGUGGGGUAAUAGGGUACUAUGAGCUCUUUAAGGCGGCUGUGGCUCAGAGGCAGAGCAGGUCGUUCCUCAAUCGGAAGGUUGUGGGUUCGAUCCCCCGCUCCUGGUGCCGACAUGUCGAAGUAUCCUUGAGCAAGAUACUGAACCCCGAAUUGCUCCCGAUGCCGUGCAUCGGUGUGAGUGUGUAUGAAUGUUAGUUUCUGUUCGAUGGACUUUGCCAUCACUGAGUAAAUGUGUGUGAAAGGGUGAAUGUGGCACAUAGUGUAAAAGCGCUUUGAGUGGUCAGAAGACUAGAAAGGCGCUAUACAAGUACAGGUCCAUUUACCAUUUAAGAUAUGAAGGGGCCUGACCAUGAAGAGCUUUAUAGGUGAGGAGGAGAAUUUUAAAUUCUAUUCUACAUUUUACCGGGAGCCAAUGCAGAGAAGCUAGUACAGGAGAGAUGUGAUCUCUUUUUCUAGUUCCUGUCAGUACUCGUGCUGCAGCGUUCUGAAUUAAUUGGAGCGUUUUAAUGGACUUAUUGGGGCAACCUGAUAAUAAGGAGUUGCAGUAAUCCAGCCUUGAAGUAACAAAUGCAUGGAUUAGUUUUUCUGCAUCUGUCUGUGAUAGUAUGUGUCUAAUUUUUGUAAUAUUACGUAAAUGAAAGAAGGCAGUCCUAGAGGUCUGCUUUAUGUGGGAGUUAAAAGACAAAUACUGAUCAAAGAUAACUCCAAGAUUCCUGACAGUGGUGCUAGAGGCCAAGUUAAUGCCAUCUAGAGUAACUAUAUCUUUAGACAGUGAGUCUCUAAGGUUUUUGGGGCCAAGAACAAGAAUUUCGUUUUUUUCUGAGUUUAACAUCAGAAAAUUGCAGGUCAUCCCGAAUUUUAUGUCCUUAAGACAUGUUUGUAAUUUAGAUAAUUGAUUAAUUUCAUUGGGUUUGAUUGAUAGAUAUAACUGCGUAUCAUCUGCAUAACAGUGAAAGUUAAUGGAUUGAUUCCUAAUAAUGUUGCCUAAAGGGAGCAUAUAUAAAGUAAAUAGUAUUGGUCCAAGUACAGAACCUUGUGGAACUCCAUGACUAACUUUAGUAUUUAUGGAGGAUUCAUCGUUAACAUGUACAAACUGACAACGAUCUGAUAAAUAUGACUUAAACCAGCUUAGGGCAGUUCCUUUAAUGCCAAUUUGAUGCUCAAGUCUCUGUAAAAGAAUAUUAUGGUCAAUGGUGUCAAAUGCAGCACUAAGAUCUAAUAAUACAAGUACAGAGACAAGUCCAUUGUCUGAAGCAAUCAGAAGGUCAUUAUUAACAUUAACCAGAGCUGUCUCUGUGCUGUGAUGAACUCUAAAUCCUGACUGAAAAUCCUCAAAUAAACUAUUGUUAUGUAGAAAGUCACAUAACUCUUUGGCGACUACUUUCUCCAGAAUCUUAGAGAGGAACGGGAGGUUAGAAAUCGGUCUAUAGUUGGCUAAAACCCCUGGGUCAAGAGUGGACUUUUUAAGAAGGGGUUUAAUUACAGCUACUUUAAAGGACUGUGGUACAUAUCCUGAUAAUAAAGAAAGAUUAAUCAUAUCCAGUAAAGAAGUGCCAAUUAAGGGAACAACUUCUUUAAGCAGCCUAGUUGGGAUCGGGUCUAAUAGACAGGUUGAUGGCUUCGAUGAAGAAAUGAUUGAAGUUAACUGAUGAAGAUCGAUAGCAGAAAAACAGUCUAAAUAUAUAUCUAAGUUUACAUUGACAGAAGUCCCUGAACUUGGAGAGCCACUGAUAAUUGUUGAUGGCAGUUGAUGAUUAAUUUUUCUCUAAUAGGAA